GCCUCGAUCCCAGGCCGAGUUUUCGCUUUUAUAACGGUUAGGCGAACAACUGGGCCUGGUACUAGUUGUCUGCGCAUGCGUCAGUCGUUUGUCAGAUUCUGACCAAUGGAUAUUCUCGUUCACUUUCGUGACAUUUAUAUUCGUGUACUAUCGUGUACUAGAAGUCAGUUCCCGUUUUAUCAUUAUUGGAAUCGAUUGGAAUGGCUCUUAGCUGAAGCUUCUCUCUUCUCUGAAGCUUAUUCUGAAGACUGAACAACAAGGGAAGAGGUAUAAAGCUUUGUCAAGCUUGUUGUUAAGGUCAGAUAUUUUUGUGUGGGCCCUAUGGCCGGCUAUGCUAUCAAGUCUUGUUCAUGUUUGGCAAGAAUGUAGGUAGACUAUAGUUUCAUCAUUAAUAUGGUGGAUCAAGUGAAGAGUGUGAGCUAGAGAACUUGGUGCUGCCAUCAUCAGCUCGUCGACAAUGACACUAUAACCGAGAAAUUUAAUAUGUAUAGAUCUACACGUAUUUAAAAUGUCUACUUCUCUGUACAGGAGCAAUGGCUAAUAUCCAGCUAUCCCAACAGUGCUCCUCUUGGCUAUACUAACGGACGAGACUGGACAGUUUGAGACACAGGACUGGAGUAUGACCUGCUCAUUCGAGCGUUGCUGGGUAGCUCAGAGACAUCAAGAGAAUCUACGUUUUCUCAAGCAAUGAGUUACGAGUUGGGGCCUAGAAUCAGAGAAGUCCAGCAGCCUGCUAAAUCUUUUUGAAACGUAAUUUGAAGGCAUUCAAUCAUCCUGAAGUUGCCCUGGGUCACUGUAAUUGUGCUGCAGCACAACUGGCAACUCCCCAGGCCUUUGUGAAGCAGCUCCCUAUGUGCAUCUUUUGUGUACUCACUCUGUGCAUUUUCUGUGUACAAAUUUCUAUUAUUGAUUUAUUAAAUA